rnacentral:rRNA from 1 species
UGCGGUUAAAACGUUCGUAGUUGAAUUUGUGUCCCACACGGGUAAUGCACCCAAGUGCGGGUUUUGCAUUACUUGUUGCAUACUAUAUGUUCACCGUCAAAAGUGGCAUAUGGUGUGUGACUUUAAGUGUGACGGAUGUUUUACCGGU